GUCCAAGAUGCGGCGGACCAAAGCCAAAAGCCCGUCAGGGCAAUGGCGGCAGCUGGCCACACGCGGGUUGCGAGGCCUGCGAGGCCAGCUGU
rnacentral:sRNA from 1 species